rnacentral:tRNA from 1 species
GGGGUUGGGGCUCAAUGGUAGAGCGCUUGCCUAGUAUGUGUGAGGCCCUGGGUUCGAUCCUCAGCACCCCA